UACGUAGGUGGCAAGCGUUAUCCGGAUUUAUUGGGCGUAAAGGGAACGCAGGCGGUCUUUUAAGUCUGAUGUGAAGGCCUUCGGCUUAACCGGAGUAGUGCAUUGGAAACUGGGAGACUUGAGUGCAGAAGAGGAGAGUGGAACUCCAUGUGUAGCGGUGAAAUGCGUAGAUAUAUGGAAGAACACCAGUGGCGAAAGCGGCUCUCUGGUCUGUAACUGACGCUGAGGUUCGAAAGCGUGGGUAGCAAACAGG
rnacentral:rRNA from 1 species